rnacentral:rRNA from 1 species
AAAGGUGGAUUAGCGGCGGACGGGUGAGUAACACGUGAGUAACCUGCCUUAGACAUUGGGAUAGCCUCGGGAAACCGGGAUUAAUACCAAAUAAAAUCAUAGUGACACAUGUCAUAACGAUCAAAACUCCGGUGGUCUAAGAUGGACUCGCGUCCCAUUAGCUAGUUGGUAGAGUAAAAGCCUACCAAGGCGACGAUGGGUAGCCGGCCUGAGAGGGUGAACGGCCACAUUGGAACUGAGAAACGGUCCAA